rnacentral:lncRNA from 1 species
UGGGAUUUUAGCCUCUUAUUAUCAUGAGAAGCUUACAGAUAUGUGCAGUAAAAUAAAUGGAAGAAAAAUGGAGUGAAACGGAUUGGCUAGAGCUCCAGAAAAUGGUUUUUCCUUGCACUAAUUGGGUAUGAAGUUCCUGCAUUGUGUCUCUUCUUUCUGCUACCUUGCUUUGUAGUGAAGUCUUGCUCCAUGAAUGAAUGUUGCUUUUAUAUAUAAAAACCACUUUUUGCAAAUAUCUUCUCACUUGAUGACCAAUCAGAACCGCCACUGUGUGCUAAGUCUACACGUCCGUGCUGAGCGCACAUGCAAAAUCCAGCUGACAUAAGUGACUGUGCGCUAAGUCGUCAGAUGCGCCCUAUCGUUGGCCUCCAGGUUGUCUUCUUAUGCUAAGCGAACUUCUUGGGCUGAGUGUUCCUAAUGCGCUAAGCCAAGAUGUCACAUUGAGCGCGACACUUCAGUUCUUCAAUCCUCUUUCAUACCUCUGUUAUAUCUCUAUAAAAAAUGCAAUCAAAAUUACUAUAAAAUCAUUAAUUUUAGCAUCUUCUAGAUAAAAACUUAGAAGAAGCUAAGUUCAUGUUGUUUUAACACAAAAGAAGCAAUAAAAGAGAAGAAAAUUAGAUAAUUGUUAUGUAAUUUCAGUAUACAAAUGACAUAUGCAUAACACUUAUCAUGUGACAUGCCUUUUUAGAUUUUGAAGGAAGAAUAACCAUGCUUCUGCUAAUUCACUCUUAACAAUAACAAAGGCUAUAAGAAGGAUUGUAUCGUUCUCAUCUUGUGCAAUUGCCACUAAAAGGGCCCCCAUGUAUUUACUGUACAACCAUGUUCCAUCGACUUAAACUAUGGGCUUGCAAUAUUGAAAUUCAUCGAUACACAGUUUGAAACUCCAAAAAAAAUCAUGGAACAUGACGAAACCCUUUACUGGUUGACCUCCUUGUGGUGGCAUUGACAGUGUUUCCUUCUCCACCACCAUAAUAGGAAGAAAUUGUUGCAUAGCUUGCAACAAUCUCGGUAGAUUGUAAUACAAUCUUUCUUAGUUGUCGUAGAUGUCUUUAAUAGCCUUUUGCUUUGCCAACUAUGCUUUGCGGUAUGUGAUCGUGUAUCAUUCAAUGCUUUUGAUGUGUGCUACAAAGAUUGACACUGAAGUUGAUAGAUCGUUUUCGAUCAAGUUAUGGAUAUUUUUACUGAUAAGCAAAUACGUUAGUUUUACAUGAUCUUGUGAGAUUGAAGGAUUUGAACACGUGUGUGGUUCACAAAGCUUUCUUAUUUUCCACUGCUUGCAGGCAAGGAUGUAUGAUGCCCUGCACCUCCAAGCACAACUAUCGCAUUACAAAUGACAAUUAGCUUUGUGGGUUCAAUAGUUGUGUCUUGUAAGUGAGACAAAACAAGUGCAUGAACCAAGUGGCAAAACAUAGAAAAAAAUUAUUAAAACUUGAAGAUUUCAAUCCAUGAGGGCAACUUUUAUCACUUAGACUCUUAUUUGUAUCAAGUGUUUUUGUUAAAAUAAUGUUUCAUUCUCAUAUUUUUCAUGUCAAUAAAGUCAUUAAGACAACUCUUAGGGUCUCCAUUUGACCCUCAAACGCAUGAACCAAGUGGCAAAACAUAGAAAAAAUUACUAAAACUUGAAGAUUUCAAUCCAUGAAAACAAAUUUUGUUACUUAGAUUCUUAUUUGUCUGAGGUAUUUUUGUUAAAAUAAUAUUUCAUUAUCAUAGUUUUCAUAUCAAUAAAGCCAUGACAAUAACUUUUGGAUCUUGAUUCGUCUCUCAAACACAUGAACCAAGUAACCAAAAACAACAAAAAAUUACUAACAGUUGAACAUUCCAAUCCAUGAAGGCAACUUUGGGGACUUAGAUAUUUAUUUUAUCAUGUGUUUUGGUUGAAAUAAUGAUUCUUCCCGUUGUUUUGAUGUCAAUAAAACCACUAAUUCAACUUUUCAGUCUUCAUUCGAUCCUCAAAUGCAUGAACCAAAUGACAAAAAAAAAAUUACUAAUAAUUGAACAUUUGAAUCCAUGAGACCAACUUUAGAUAUUUAGAUUUUAAUUUGUAUCAACUAUUUUUGUUAAAAUAAUGUUUCAUUCACUUAGUUUUGAUGUCAACAUAGCCAUUAAUACUCUGAGAGACUAACAAUUUUCUUUCUUGAGAAAGGGAUGGUACAUUUGUAGCUUCUAUUGGCUUCUUUCUAUGGUAAUAGAGGAAUAAAUACCUAUAAACUUACAUUAUUGUGCCAUGGCUGACAGAAAGAAAGAGAACCGAUUAAACAUAGAAAUACAAAUGAAUAAUAUUACAGAAUUACUACUAUCAUACUCUUCUGUCAUUCCAAAUAUAGUAGCUAAAAACAAAAUUUUAGGUUCACUUCUUCUGGGCCAUUGAUUGAACUGGCACUAGAAAGCUGCUGUUAAAGUGCUAUUCUGAAAAAUCUCAGAAACAAAUAAUUAAAAAAAAAGUGAUAAAUUGAAAUCGGCACUGGAUGCAAUACUACGACUAUUAGUAGUGGAAAGUUGAAACUGACAAGUUGGCCUUAGACUAGCUGCAUUAUAUGGAUUUUCGGGAAAGUAGACAAAGAGAACUCAAGUUUAUCCAUGCUGGUUGAAAGCAUGAUUAUACUGAUAUAUCAAAGAGAAAGUAGACAAAGAGAACUCAAGUUUAUCCAUGCUGGUUGAAAGCAUGAUUAAACAACCACAAUCAGAUAUAUCAUAUAUGUGACUUUUAGUAAUAUUUUUUUAAUAAUCAAUAAAAAUAUUAUUAAAAACUUUUCGAAUGUGGUGAAAAGUUUUUAAUAACAUUUUUAUUAAAUAUUAGAUAAAAAAAAUUAUUGCUAAACAUCAUAUUUAUAUAACAAUGAACAAUAGAAAUUGUUUUCUAUUUGUGCUUGGAUUCUAAGGCUGCUGAGAUACUGAAGACUAGGAAUUACUUUAUUGACUUAUUCAAUAUUUUAAGACCUCGUUUGGAUUACUGAUAUCUUCUUAUUUAAAAAAUAAAAUUAUCUUGUGAUGUUAAAUAUAGCCACUAAUUUCUGUAUAGUCUAGUUACUGGUGGAAUUUGAGUCUCUGAUAAAGAAGAUUCUUGAUUGAAAAUUUUAGCUGCAGUCAAGAAGUGUUGGAACACUAUACAGAAUAACAAGUACAAUUAUUUCAUGUACACAAGCGUUUCUGUUUUAUGACCGGUCAUCAUGAAAAAUGCUGAAGCAGAAGUUUUAGUGUAACAUUUACUUAACUAUUCUGUGAGUAGUGGGGAUUUGAUUAACAUUCAAGCACUUGUAUGAUAGGCUAAAAGUAAUGAUUUUCUUUUUUGUAAAGUUGAUAUGUUACAGUGAGAUUAUGAAUUUAUUUAUUGUUACUAGUACUCCUAGCUGUGUAUUUUUUUCAUCUCUAGGAUCUGUAAUUAGCAUUGACUAAUGGCUAGACUGAGAGCAUCAGAUUUACCACAGUUUAAAUUAAAAUUAAAACGUUUGAAUGGUUUUUAUGGUAACCUAUUUGGUAAAGCUCUUUUUAUCAGACUUUCCUGUUAAAACUAGGGUAGAGACAUAAGAAGAAUUGUCUGAAACCUUUUUCAGUACUCAGCAGUGCCAGCUGCCGUUCCACUCAGAUUGUUGAAUUGAGUCCACAUAUCAUUUUAAUUGAAAUUAGAAAUUCUAUAUUAGUAACACACUAUGCCACUAAGGUACCUUGGCAGUCAUCUAUACUAGACAAAUUAUCAUAUAUCUCUAAGGUUGUACAUGUACUCCAUAUAAGUGAAAAUUGGAGAAAUGGAAAUUAAAACUGUACAGACACUAAUUCUAGAUAUUCACUCACUUUCUUUCAUAUCACUAAAGACAGUCUCUCUGAAUCCCUCUUAUAGUUUCAGAACUUCUUCCAUUAGACAAACUUCCAUGUUUUGCCCAUUAGAUGGUCCAAAAAAGUGAAUAAAAUCUGACCUACUCGAUAAAAAUUGUAUUGUCAAGGAUAGUAGAGGAAUAAAUAAAAUAAUUAAAAUAAAAACUAUUAUUGUGGACCUCUGAUUUGGAGAUUUACUUGAGAGAACAGAAACAAAAAUUGAACAGCGUGUAUAUUGAACAAGACUGUUAAUAUUGUUAAGUAUCUUCUCUCUCUUUAUCUCACUAAUUCAUGGCUAAGUUAUCACACUAUACAUCUGAAAAUGAAAGAUGUGUAAUCUUAUCAUCUUAUGCCAUUCUUGUGCCCCUUUGGAUUUUCCCUUUGGGAUGACACAUUGACACUCCAAACCCAUCAGAGAUUCAUAUAAAAUAAGAAUAUGCGUAUGAUAUGACCUACCUUACUAUCAACACAAUUGUGCUUUCGAAGUAUCAAAUCCAUGCAAAGCUUUCGGUUGGUCAGCUAUCAAACAGUAUUAUAUCUGAAUCGACCAAUUGUGAAUAUAUUAUUGAGCAAGUACACGUACCUGGCAUUUGGUAGUUUUCUAAUAGACUUACUUUGACGCAUUUGAGCCUUGCAAGUUCAAUAUUAAUUCAUUGAUAAGAAGGGGCCAUGUAUACUGUUA